UUUUUUUUUUUUUUUUUUUGCCUAAAGUCACUCUUAAAAAAAUUUUUUUCCCUUAAGAGCAAGAUGCUAGUGCAUAAGCCACUUAGUUCACCAGAGAGAACUAAGAAAGGAGACAAUGAAGAAUCAUCUUGGGGUUAAAAUAAAUCUCAACCACUAACCUCAAAAACUAUCUGCCAAAAUUUAUUAGACUUUGGAACAAUUUAUGCCCUGAGAAUUAAAACAAAAUAAAAACAAGCCAUCUGUGAGCACUUCAUGUAAUAUUACAGCUGGAAAUAAGAAAUGAGGCAGACACAUCCCAAAAAGUGAUAGCCAGUGAGCCCUGCUAAAACCACUACCAUCACCCAGAUUACCUGUGUACCCGCCCAGGGCUGUAUUCUCUGAGAAACAGACUUCACUAGAAUGGCCUUGCCAACUCACUAAACAAUCAAACAAAAUCAACAGAAGAUGGAAGGCCACAAGGGGAAUCACUAUCCAGAAUUGCGGACCUUAAAACCCUAGUUUCCAAUAAGGUUUUGAGUUACACAAAGACAGGAAAAUAUAACCCUUCUACAGGAAGGCAAAGAGCAUGCAGCAAAAGUUACUUAUGAGAGGACCAAGAAAUAACAAAGUCUUCCAUUACGACUAUGUUAGAGGAGAUUCAAAGACUCAUGCUUAAAGAGUUAAAGUAAGUCAAUCACCAAGGACACACAAGAUUCAAUUAGUAAAGCAGGCAGGACAGAAAGUAGAAGCAUGUUUGCAGAGGGCCAGGGUAAGGAGUGAAUGGAUGGACAGAAGGGGCUGGUGACUCCACAUGAAUAGGAAGAUUUUUAAAUUUGACUAUGGUAACCAUUGCCCAUCUUGUGAAUAUACUAGGAACCACUGCAUCAUGUAUCAUGUAAAAUUGUAUGACAUGUGAAUUAUAUAUUAUUAAUAUUAUGUUUAAAAACAAACACUAAGAACUCCAGAAAAAAAAAAAGAUUAUGGUCGACAUCAAUACCCAAAUGAUAGAAGGAAGAGACGGUGAACCCAACAGGUGGUUGAUAAAUUAGCAGUGUUGAUUUGAUUUGAUCAUCUCAAAUGUAGUAGCAUUCUCUUAAGAGUUUUUAAGGCAAGCAGCAGCACAUUUCGGUCAUAAAGAGAUCCUUUGCCCUAAAACUAAUAAAAUCGAUGCUGGAGAAAAACAAAACACGUCCUCAGAGGAACAAACCUACCCUGAGAUGGAUGGCCUAGCCACAUUACGACAAUAAAGCUGUACUGCUUAAACUAUCUCUACGAUGGAGGGUAUGUAUCUGCUGCUUACAACCACCCAUCCCACUCUAAGCCUAGAAGCCUGGAGCUGCUGCAGCCAUCUUGGCUUCUUCCGCGCACGCCUACUUUCCUUCUAAAGAGGCAUCCCUCCACAUCACCCCGAAAUUGAUUAGCACAUGGCGUCGUGGGCCAUCGGAAUAUUACAGGAGCAGUACAUCCUACAUUCAACUAAAUGAUGCUAUUUUCAAAGGGGAACGUUACAGAGAAAACUGUCGUGGUGACCCUACUUGGCACUGGUGAGCACUACAGGGCCACUCAUCUCGAACGCAUCACCUUGAUCCUUCCGCCUACCGCCCCUUUUAGCGCUUUUCGAGGGACCACAAUGGGCAGCCUCCUUUUGCUCCUAUGCACG
ensembl:lncRNA